AGUAACGCGUGAGGAACCUGCCUCAAAGAGGGGGACAACAGUUGGAAACGACUGCUAAUACCGCAUAAGCCCACGGCUCGGCAUCGAGCAGAGGGAAAAGGAGUGAUCCGCUUUGAGAUGGCCUCGCGUCCGAUUAGCUAGUUGGUGAGGUAACGGCCCACCAAGGCGACGAUCAGUAGCCGACCUGAGAGGGUGACCGGCCACAUUGGGACUGAGACACGGCCCAG
rnacentral:rRNA from 1 species